AGCUUCGUCCGCAUUUUGCUCUCUGCUGACAGUAUGUGGCAGAACAGACCGGUUCCCAGCGAAGGCACUGGGAUAGCGUGUCCUGAAACGUGGGGUCCGCAUUUCAGUGUCCUGCUUUCACGCAAUAUUUCACUGACGGCGCUCGUCCCACAGAAGGGCUGCAGCCACAGGGAGUGGUUUGGGCUGGUGUCUCCCCAAAAUAACCAGUUGUUGCUUAGGGCUGCACGACAAUAAUUGACGUCUUUAGCUGCGGUCUUGGGAAGAAUGCAUAGUCUUGUUCUAAAUUUGCUUUAAACUCCUUCCUUUACAUAGCUGUUCUGGAUGGCCCUGGCCUCUCCUGAUUGCCGGCACUAGGGCCUCUGAAGUGACCACACAGUCUCCCGUUGGGAAUCUGCUUCUGGAGCAUACAGGAGAGGCCUGGGAGAUGCGCUUUUCCUGCUUAAAUAAAGACUUGGUGCCACUGGGAAGCCCCAUCUCGUCCUUGUGUUCUGUGGGAGAAGCCAAGCCAAGUGUUGCCUGGUGCUUUUGCAGAUCAGCCUGUGCCCAUAGACCAGAUAGGAGGGAGCCAGUUGUCAGUGGAAGGUGCAUGGGUGCUGGAUGUUAGAACCUCAGAGUGAAAAAUGAGGUGUUUUACAUAAAUUUUUAGCAAGAAAACACUGGAGAAAAACAUUUCUGUUUGUACAGUUGACAAGGAAGUCCAGUGCAAUGUUUAGAAACUUCCAGGUUCCUGCAGGCUUUUUGAUGAAAGAUAACUGUUGGGUGCAGAGAGGAUUCCCCUAACAAAGUGAGGCAUGAAUAUCUUUGCCAACAGGCUUGCCACUCUCAUAAGGAGAUCUUUAAAAUAGGCUACUGAAGGAUGAAGCAGUACCACCAGACCUAAGCUGGAAGAAAACUGGCAAAGCUAGAAGAGGUGUGCUGACAGAUUAGUGGUGGAUAAUGGGAAAGCAGAUGCAAGAUAGGAUGGUGGCAGAGGCUGUCCUUCAACCUGAGCAAGUUGCAUGCUUGGGCACCCUUCCACGUUUCUGCACACAGGCUAGCAUUUAGGGGCACUUCAGCAGGCU